GACGGGGCAGGACACCCGGGAGUGGGACCAGCUGGGGACAGGAAACAGAGGAAGAGGCAUGAGGUGGUCACAAACCCCAACAAGGAGCUGAGGCUGCUGACCGCGCCCCCACCCCCUCCCCCCAGCUUGGAAAGGCAUCAGGGCCCUGGACGGGCCCUCCUUCAUCCCACAGCCUGGGGCUUCAGGGAGCCAGGGCGGGGCAGCGGCAGCAAGUGCCCAAGGCCCUGGCGGCUUACGUCAGUCUGUUCCACCCAACCCCCAAAAGGGUCCUAUUCCCCCCAGGGAACAUUCCCACCAGUGCCUCUUCCUGAAGCGCCCCCACGGCACUCCCUGGCAGCUCCCCCCACCCCAGUGGGUUGGGGCCCUUUCUUGGCAGAUAAAACAAUGACAUAGAUCUGGGGUGAGGUCCCGCCGGGAGCUGGACACAGCACAGACACUUCUCACCUCACCCUGCCUGUGACGCAGGCUCAGCGCCACGGAAUUUCUGAAGGCGCGUCCCCGAGAAGUUCCGCGAUGACGAGGAGGGCACUGCCCUCAGGACAACACUGUGCCCCUCCAUGCAGCCCCAAGCUGGCAGAACCCGCGCCUGCCCGUUCCGGCCCUGCCCUGUCAACAACCUGGUCAGCAGGGACGCCCCCGGGGAAGAGGCUGGCCUUCACUGCUCUCUGCGUCCAGGAUGCAAGCAGGCCUUACAACCCAGCCGGAGAGGACAGGAAGAGCGAAGAGGAGGACAGCAAUGGGGCCAGAGUGCUCAGCAAGGCGCCCGCAGGGCCCUGCUCAGGGUGCUCCGCAGUCAGGACAGGCAGAGGGAACGAGGGACGGCCGGCCCCUCCACAUUCAGGAGGAAGCGGGGCCGUCCCCGACGAAGCGCUGAGGACAGCGGGCCCCGCGCCCCCCACCCCUUCGGAAACAACAAUGGGCGGCCGGCGACAGAGAACCGGGGACCGAGCGUGGAAACCCCCCGCCCGGCAGUGUCGGCGGCGGCGCGGGCCCGCUGCUGCCCCCGCGCGCCCCUCCGCGGCACUGCGCGCCCGGCCGAGGGCGCCGCGGUUGAUCUCCUGGUUCUCAGACCCUGAGGACGCACGGCGGCGAGGGCGGGAAAGCUUGAGUUGGGGUUCUGAGACUAUUUUCGGUUCAAAGGAAAUUACAUGUCAUUCCUAAAGCCGAAAUCUUAUCGUGGCUUGCACUUUCCCGAAGCAGAAGCACAAUGACUUGUUUUUAUGUGAUCAUCUCAUUCUACCACUAGCUAUGUUCUUUUCUUUUUCUUCCACAUGGAGUCAGAGAUCAUAGCUAAAGAAAUUAUGAAGUGGAUAUUCAGGGGACAAAGACAGUCACGGAGCAAAGAGCUGCGAUUGCUUUUUCCUGGACUCUGAAAUCACUCAGGGCUAGGCCCUGUCUUCAGCAAACAAUUGGCCCUCCUUAUAUUCACAUACAAAC
rnacentral:lncRNA from 1 species